rnacentral:rRNA from 1 species
GAUGAACGCUGGCGGCGUGCCUAAUACAUGCAAGUCGAGCGAAUGGAUUAAGAGCUUGCUCUGGUGAAUUAGUGGCGAACGGGUGAGUAACACGUGAGUAACCUGCCCUUGACUCUGGGAUAACUGCUAGAAAUGGUAGCUAAUACCGGAUACGACCCUCGGAGGCAUCUCCAGGGGGUGGAAAGAAUUUCGGUCAAGGAUGGACUCGCGGCCUAUCAGCUAGUUGGUGAGGUAACGGCUCACCAAGGCGACGACGGGUAGCCGGCCUGAGAGGGUGACCGGCCACACUGGGACUGAGACACGGCCCAGACUCCUACGGGAGGCAGCAGUGGGGAAUAUUGCACAAUGGGCGCAAGCCUGAUGCAGCAACGCCGCGUGAGGGAUGACGGCCUUCGGGUUGUAAACCUCUUUUAGUAGGGAAGAAGCGAAAGUGACGGUGCCUGCAGAAAAAGCACCGGCUAACUACGUGCCAGCCGCCGCGGUAA